GACGAACGCUGGCGGCGUGCUUAACACAUGCAAGUCGAACGGAAAGGCCUGCUUUCCCUUGUGGAUUGCGGGUACUCGAGUGGCGAACUGGUGAGUAACACGUGAGUGAUCUGCCCCCAACUUGGGUAUAAGCCUGGGAAACUGGGUCUAAUUCCCGAUAGGACUGCAGGGUGGUGCCUGUGGUGGAAAACGAUUUUCUAGUGGUUGGGGAUGAGCUCGCGGCCUAUCAGCUUGUUGGUGGGGUAAUGGCCUACCAAGGCGGCGACGGGUAGCCGGCCUGAGAGGGUGGACGGCCACAUUGGGACUGAGAUACGGCCCAGACUCCUACGGGAGGCAGCAGUGGGGAAUAUUGCACAAUGGGCGGAAGCCUGAUGCAGCGACGCCGCGUGGGGGAUGACGGCCUUCGGGUUGUAAACUCCUUUCGACCGCGAGGAAGCCACCUGGUUGGAAGGGUGGUGACGGUAGUGGUAGAAGAAGCACCGGCUAACUACGUG
rnacentral:rRNA from 1 species